rnacentral:rRNA from 1 species
UGGGGAAUUUUGGACAAUGGGCGAAAGCCUGAUCCAGCAAUGCCGCGUGUGUGAAGAAGGCCUUCGGGUUGUAAAGCACUUUUGUCCGGAAAGAAAUCCUUGGCUCUAAUACAGUCGGGGGAUGACGGUACCGGAAGAAUAAGCACCGGCUAACUACGUGCCAGCAGCCGCGGUAAUACGUAGGGUGCAAGCGUUAAUCGGAAUUACUGGGCGUAAAGCGUGCGCAGGCGGUUUGCUAAGACCGAUGUGAAAUCCCCGGGCUCAACCUGGGAACUGCAUUGGUGACUGGCAGGCUAGAGUAUGGCAGAGGGGGGCAGAAUUCCACGUGUAGCAGUGAAAUGCGUAGAGAUGUGGAGGAAUACCGAUGGCGAAGGCAGCCCCCUGGGCCAAAUACUGACGCUCAUGCACGAAAAGCGUGGGGAGCAAAACAGGAUUAGAUACCCUGGUAGUCCACGCCCUAAAACGAUGUCAACUAGUUGUUGGGGAUUCAUUUCCUUAGUAACGUAGCUAACGCGUGAAGUUGACCGCCUGGGGAGUACGGUCGCAAGAUUAAAACUUAAAUGAAUUGACGGGGUCAUAGCUGUUUCCU